UACAGAGGUCCCAAGCGUUGUUCGGAUUCACUGGGCGUAAAGGGUGCGUAGGUGGUGAGGUAAGUCGGAUGUGAAAGCUCGGAGCUCAACUCCGAAAUGGCAUUGGAAACUACCUUGCUCGAGGGUUGGAGGGGGGACUGGAAUGCUUGGGUGUAGCAGUGAAAUGCGUAGAUAUCAAGCGGAACACCAGUGGCGAAGGCGAGUCCCUGGACAACUCCUGACCACUGAGGCACGAAAGCUAGGGGAGCAAACAGG
rnacentral:rRNA from 1 species